ensembl:ncRNA F09D5.2 ncRNA
AGCGUUACAGAACUUUUCAAGUUGAUGGAAUGUUUCAAUAUGAGUGAACGAGGUGGGCCCAAAACCCUACAUGUCCUUCUACUGCUCUUCUUCUUCUUUUUUUCACUAUAUGUCUCAAAAAGAAUGUGAAAGAGAAGCACACACAUGAGGAGCACAACUCUACCGCCUUUUGACUGAGUGACAAGUCAAGAGUAGCCAUCUCAGUAGUAGUCCUUUCCUUUCCUCCCCACCCAUCCAUCCACCGGACUCCUCCCUGUCCAAU